rnacentral:rRNA from 1 species
AUUGAACGCUGGCGGAAUGCUUUACACAUGCAAGUCGAACGGCAGCACGGGAGCUUGCUCCUGGUGGCGAGUGGCGAACGGGUGAGUAACAUAUCGGAACGUACCCAGUCGUGGGGGAUAACUAUCCGAAAGGAUAGCUAAUACCGCAUACGUCCUGAGGGAGAAAGCGGGGGAUCGCAAGGCCUCGCGCGAUUGGAGCGGCCGAUAUCGGAUUAGCUAGUUGGUGGGGUAAAGGCUCACCAAGGCGACGAUCCGUAGCGGGUCUGAGAGGACGACCCGCCACACUGGAACUGAGACACGGUCCAGACUCCUACGGGAGGCAGCAGUGGGGAAUUUUGGACAAUGGGGGCAACCCUGAUCCAGCCAUUCCGCGUGAGUGAAGAAGGCCUUCGGGUUGUAAAGCUCUUUCAGCAGGAACGAAACGGUCGGCUUUAAUAAAAUCGGCUAAUGACGGUACCUGCAGAAGAAGCACCGGCUAACUACGUG